GAUCCAAAAGGUGAAAAGAUCCCUGCAGAUCUCUGCAAUCUCUCAAGUUUAUUUCAUUUUGAUUCGUCCAGGAAGUAGGACAAGCGACCGCGAACCUCAUCCACCCCAACGGAAUAUUAUCCGUGAAUCCAAGAACACCCAUCGAUCCCUCUCUUUCUCUCUCACCUUCUCCCACGCGUGCGCCGCCCCACCCCGUGUCUCUAUCCCUUCACCCUCUGCUUCUUCCACGCGUAGCACCAAACCCACCGCCUCGUGCUCUUCCUCCACCUCCACUUUUCUGGAGCACCAAAGUCACACGCGAGGGCCCACCAUCCUCACAGAGAUGGAUCUCAACGGAGCGGAUCUAGCCUCCCUGUCGCCUCCUCCACCGGGAGCGACGACAUCCUCCACCAAGAUCUGCGUGGGGAGGCUGAUGUUCUCGACGGGCAGGAGCACUCGCCGACGUGCUCCAUCUCCUUGUUUGCCACCUCCGUCGAGAGCCGCGUGAUUGUCGCCUUCGAGAGCGCGGCUGCAGCCCAUCCAUGGUGUGCAUCCAGAGCCUUGCGACGACAUCACCAAGUCGGCGAGCAUUGGAUCCACACCUCCGGUGAGCAGUGUCUCCCCUUCCCGUAGUCUGACAAGACACCAUGGACGCCCCCGUCAUAGUCCUUGUGGGCCGGUGGAUGAGGCAGCUAGCCCAAGGCGAGCUAGACGAUGCGUGCACGCCGAGCGACCACAACAGCGGCUGCUCGUUCAGGUCAACCACCACGCGUGCAGGCCACCAUGGUGUCCGUCGCGACCGUUGAUGGCCUUCGGGCCUGAUCUGCAGAUCGGCGGGAUACGGCAUGGUGGGUAGGAGGUGAGCUGGCCGUGGUGGGGAGGAGGAGCAGUUAUGGCGGGAGAGAGAUUGCCGUUGUGAACACAAACCGCAAAAAAAAACAUCCACAUCAACGUUGUUGAAAUUGAAGUUGUCCAUGAGACAAAAGCACAUCCACGGGCCAUGGCAAAAUUUUCCAGACGCUAAACCAGGAGAAUUAUGGCUUAUUUUGUCUAAACUUCUAUUUUUAUGUUCACGAGCUUGGAUGCUAAAUUGUAUACUAUAUAAUUGUUUGUACAUGACUUUGCAACUUUCCUAACCGGACUUUGAUAUUUACAAUAUUCGAAAACACUUUUAACUUUUGAAAUGUGAUGCUUGUGCUCCUGCACCGAGUUUUAAUCUUCUGAAAGUUGACUAGUGAAUCUUUGAUGGAUAUUUUGAGCUCAUUUUCUGGUCAUGCCUGAAACACUUUUAACGUUUGAUUUUGCUAAUUUUCGGGAGAUGUAAAUCUGAAUAAAUAUUGUAAGUGAAACAUUGAAUGAACUGUUAUCUGAAUCAGCGCAUGUUGAAUUUGACC